UUAAGUUAUUAAGGGCGCACGGUGGAUGCCUUGGCACUAGAAGCCGAUGAAGGACGUUACUAACGACGAUAUGCUUUGGGGAGCUGUAAGUAAGCUUUGAUCCAGAGAUUUCCGAAUGGGGAAACCCAGCAUGAGUUAUGUCAUGUUAUCGAUAUGUGAAUACAUAGCAUAUCAGAAGGCACACCCGGAGAACUGAAACAUCUUAGUACCCGGAGGAAGAGAAAGAAAAUUCGAUUCCCUUAGUAGCGGCGAGCGAAACGGGAAGAGCCCAAACCAACAAGCUUGCUUGUUGGGGUUGUAGGACACUCUAUACGGAGUUACAAAGGACGACAUUAGACGAAUCAUCUGGAAAGAUGAAUCAAAGAAGGUAAUAAUCCUGUAGUCGAAAAUGUUGUCUCUCUUGAGUGGAUCCUGAGUACGACGGAGCACGUGAAAUUCCGUCGGAAUCUGGGAGGACCAUCUCCUAAGGCUAAAUACUCUCUAGUGACCGAUAGUGAACCAGUACCGUGAGGGAAAGGUGAAAAGCACCCCGGAAGGGGAGUGAAAUAGAACCUGAAACCGUGUGCUUACAAGUAGUCAGAGCCCGUUAAUGGGUGAUGGCGUGCCUUUUGUAGAAUGAACCGGCGAGUUACGAUUUGAUGCAAGGUUAAGCAGUAAAUGUGGAGCCGUAGCGAAAGCGAGUCUGAAUAGGGCGUUUAGUAUUUGGUCGUAGACCCGAAACCAGGUGAUCUACCCUUGGUCAGGUUGAAGUUCAGGUAACACUGAAUGGAGGACCGAACCGACUUACGUUGAAAAGUGAGCGGAUGAACUGAGGGUAGCGGAGAAAUUCCAAUCGAACCUGGAGAUAGCUGGUUCUCUCCGAAAUAGCUUUAGGGCUAGCCUCAAGUGAUGAUUAUUGGAGGUAGAGCACUGUUUGGACGAGGGGCCCCUCUCGGGUUACCGAAUUCAGACAAACUCCGAAUGCCAAUUAAUUUAACUUGGGAGUCAGAACAUGGGUGAUAAGGUCCGUGUUCGAAAGGGAAACAGCCCAGACCACCAGCUAAGGUCCCAAAAUAUAUGUUAAGUGGAAAAGGAUGUGGCGUUGCCCAGACAACUAGGAUGUUGGCUUAGAAGCAGCCAUCAUUUAAAGAGUGCGUAAUAGCUCACUAGUCGAGUGACACUGCGCCGAAAAUGUACCGGGGCUAAACAUAUUACCGAAGCUGUGGAUUGUCCUUUGGACAAUGGUAGGAGAGCGUUCUAAGGGCGUUGAAGCAUGAUCGUAAGGACAUGUGGAGCGCUUAGAAGUGAGAAUGCCGGUGUGAGUAGCGAAAGACGGGUGAGAAUCCCGUCCACCGAUUGACUAAGGUUUCCAGAGGAAGGCUCGUCCGCUCUGGGUUAGUCGGGUCCUAAGCUGAGGCCGACAGGCGUAGGCGAUGGAUAACAGGUUGAUAUUCCUGUACCACCUAUAAUCGUUUUAAUCGAUGGGGGGACGCAGUAGGAUAGGCGAAGCGUGCGAUUGGAUUGCACGUCUAAGCAGUAAGGCUGAGUAUUAGGCAAAUCCGGUACUCGUUAAGGCUGAGCUGUGAUGGGGAGAAGACAUUGUGUCUUCGAGUCGUUGAUUUCACACUGCCGAGAAAAGCCUCUAGAUAGAAAAUAGGUGCCCGUACCGCAAACCGACACAGGUAGUCAAGAUGAGAAUUCUAAGGUGAGCGAGCGA
rnacentral:rRNA from 1 species